UACGUAGGUGGCAAGCGUUGUCCGGAUUUAUUGGGCUUAAAGGGUGCGUAGGCGGCCUUUUAAGUCAGUGGUGAAAUAUUUCAGCUCAACUGGAAUUGUGCCAUUGAUACUGAUGGGCUUGAGUACAGAUGAGGUAGGCGGAAUUGACGGUGUAGCGGUGAAAUGCUUAGAUAUCGUCAAGAACACCUAUAGCGAAGGCAGCUUACUAGGCUGUAACUGACGCUGAGGCACGAAAGUGUGGGGAUCAAACAGG
rnacentral:rRNA from 1 species